rnacentral:lncRNA from 1 species
GGGAUCUCACAACGGGCACUACCACGAGACGAUUUGUCGGCCACACCAAGGAUGUGCUGAGCGUGGCUUUCUCCUCUGACAACCGGCAGAUUGUCUCUGGGUCCCGAGACAAGACCAUUAAGUUAUGGAAUACUCUGGGUGUCUGCAAGUACACUGUCCAGGUAAAGGGGUAAGGGUGGUAGGGACGGCGUCCAGGGCUGUCUCCCACCCCCUGGGGGCUGUUUUUAGGGUGCGUUCAUCACUGUGUGGUCCUGGUGGCCUCAGGUGAUCUGAUUCCUAGGUGUGUACUACUACCACCUGGCACUUUCUCUUGUGUAUUGUUAGCCCUGUCUGGGAUUUUGUUUUUAAACUUUGUGUGCCUGCUACCUUGUGACUGGACUGGCAUGGGGCUCAGAGGAGUUGGAGGGAUUGUUUGUUUGUGGGUUUCUGUGUAGGUAGACCUGCAUGAGAUCAUGUGCUUCCAGACUGCUGGGGUUAAAAGGCCUUCUUUUCCCCCUUUAAUCCCAUAUUAGGUUGAGCUGUGGAAACCCAAACCACGGCAUCAGUUGGGCAGGGUCUUGGCACAUGAGCAGAUACCCAGAUGUCUCUCAUAACUGCCCUAAGGUUUAAAUGAUCUUAAGUCUCUCACCUAUCUCCUAGAGAUGUGUUUGAGGGGUUACAAGCCAGGCCCAACAGUGAUGACCACAACAUGCCAUCUGAGUUGCUUUGCUGAAAUCCAGAGGCUGUUUCUGAGCUGUGCCUG